rnacentral:misc_RNA from 1 species
UGCAACGAAAUUAUGGAAUUAAGUUAUCGCUACAUGCCCGCAAUCGCCUCGGUUUUUUUA